GGCGAACGGGUGAGUAACACGUGGGAACCUUCCCUAUAGUACGGAAUAGCCCAGGGAAACUUGGAGUAAUACCGUAUACGCCCGAGAGGGGAAAGAUUUAUCGCUAUAGGAUGGGCCCGCGUUGGAUUAGCUAGUUGGUGAGGUAAUGGCUCACCAAGGCGACGAUCCAUAGCUGGUCUGAGAGGACGACCAGCCACACUGGGACUGAGACACGGCCCAGACUCCUACGGGAGGCAGCAGUGGGGAAUAUUGGACAAUGGGCGCAAGCCUGAUCCAGCCAUGCCGCGUGAGUGAUGAAGGCCUUAGGGUUGUAAAGCUCUUUUGGCGGGACGAUAAUGACGGUACCCGCAGAAUAAGUCCCGGCUAACUUCGUGCCAGCAGCCGCGG
rnacentral:rRNA from 1 species